GUCUACGGCCAUGCCACCCUGAACAAGCCCAAUCCCAUCUGAUCUCGGAAGCUAAGCAGGGUUGGGCCUGGUUAGUACUUGGAUGGGAGCCCACCUAGGAAAACCAGAUGCUGUAGGCA
rfam:Pteropus alecto contig101210, whole genome shotgun sequence.